GAUCACUAGAGAGAACCUGCCCUUUGGGUAGAUCUCCCACCCUUUGUUUGUUAUACACUGUUGCUUUGGCGGGCCUGCCUCGGCUGCCGGCGCAAGCUGGCUCGCGCCCGCCAGAGACCAAAACUCUGAAUGUUGUCGUCUGAGAAAUAUAUAAUAAGUUAAAACUUUCAACAACGGAUCUCUUGGUUCUGGCAUCGAUGAAGAACGCAGCGAAAUGCGAUAAGUAAUGUGAAUUGCAGAAUUCAGUGAAUCAUCGAAUCUUUGAACGCACAUUGCGCCCUCUGGUAUUCCGGGGGGCAUGCCUGUUCGAGCGUCAUUACAACCCUCAAGCUCUGCUUGGUAUUGGGCCUCGCCGUUUGGCGGGCCUCAAAAUCAGUGGCGGUGCCGUCUGGCUUCCAGCGUAGUAAUACUUCCGCUACGGAGUCAGGCGAGCGCCCGCCAGAACCCCCAAUAUUUUUAAGGU
rnacentral:rRNA from 1 species